CAUAAAUCUCAGCUGUUCGUGUACGUUUUGUACAUUUCAUUGGUUUGUGCUACAAAAUUUGUGAAAUAUAUCUGAAAAUUAAAGUUGUGCUAAGUAUUUAAAUUACAAAACAUAAAAAAAUGACUCAAGAUAUACUAAUGAGUAACGACGAGCCAAUGGCCACCAAUGAUGCUUCACGCAACCAGCUGAAUCAGCAUUGUACAGCUGCAAAGUCUGCGCAAGGUGCACAGCUACUGGAUGUGGUGCGCCAAGUAUUGGAAGCACCGUCAAUUUAUGUAUUUGGCGAACUGCUCGCAUUACCCAACGUGCAGGAGCUCAAAGAUGGGCCGCAUAUUAAAUACUAUAACACAUUGAAUCUUUUUGCUUACGGUACAUAUAAGCAAUACCGCCAACAACCUAGUGAAUAUUUGGAAUUGACCGCUACAAUGCAGAAAAAGCUGCAACAUUUGACCAUCGUUUCUCUAGCUAUUAAAAACAAAUGCAUCCCGUAUGAGGUACUGUUGGAGGAGUUGGAAAUCAAUAAUGUACGUCACUUGGAAGAUGUUAUCAUUGAAGCCAUUUAUGCCGAUAUUAUACAUGGCAAACUUUUCCAAAACAAUCGUUUUCUGGAAAUUGAUUAUGCGCAAGGACGCGACAUUCCCCCUGGCUAUACCAGCAAAAUCGCUCAAACUCUGCAACAGUGGGUGGAUUCGUGUAACACCAUUUCCAAUUGCAUUGAUGUGCAAAUAACGCGUGCCAACUUUGAGAAGGCUAAGAGCUUGAAAAACAAGGAGCAUAUUGAACAAGAGAUAAUUAAUUUGAAGAAAGUUUUGAAGACCCAAAUCACCGAAAACGAUGAUGCCAUGCAAGUCGAUACCCGCGAGUCAUCCAGCAUGGAUGUCCGCAGGAAGCCGUUCAAGACGAAAAGUUCACGUCUCCAUCAUGCCCCAGUGGGUAAGUUGACAGGCGUGGCCUCGUCCUCCGCGGACGUUGCCAGCAAUGUGGCCAGUGGAAGUGGUGGUUCUUUAGGCGGAGGAGCCAUCGGUGGCGUCACAAGUGUUACUAUGGCAGCGGCAAACACCACCACAUCGUGGCUAAAAUCAUUCACGCAGUCUUUCGAGAAGGAAUAGGUGGUGGCUAGCAGCAAAUGAGGAGGGAAGCAGAGGCUACUUGCCUAUGCCGUCAAAAUCAAACACGCAGCUGUACGGAGCCAAUCAUCGUCCGUUCCCAGCGAAAAAGCCUGAAGUUCCAUCUGGUAGCAUGAACUAUUUGAAUUAACGACCAACU